AGAGGUACACACUUACUUUCCCGUUCUGCCUUGGUUGAAACUGGUGUUACAUCUUUUAUGGAUUGGUUAUCAAGAAUUAUUUGUAAAUUUUUAUAUUAUAACGGGGGAGGUUUUCUAUAAUCGAAUUGUAAAUUCACGAUGAUGAAGAUGAUACUUCUUAAAAGACAUCUUCUUCAGUUAAGGGCCUAGGGACUUCUCUGUAUUAGGAGGAAGCUGAAAUUGUCUCUUCAUAUUGAUUAGUACACGAUGUUCUUGCAAAAUGUUCCAAUGAGUCAUCAUCUUUUGGAGGCUGUCCUAUAGUCGCUACUGUUGCUGGGCUAUAAUUUGGUCAUCACUGUUGAGACUCUUGCA
rnacentral:lncRNA from 1 species